GCGGGUGUGGUGCAGGGUACACAGCUGCCUUGGUUAGUUGGGCACUCGUGAAAAGCAUCAAGCAGCAGAUCCGGGUUCGACUCCCGGCGCCCGUA